ACUUUCCGGAAUCCACGAGGAUGAGAACCUCCGGGGGCAAGAGGUUCGACUCGAGCGGAGCGAGAGAACGUUGCGCCAGCAACGGCCCGCAGUGGCGAGUAAUCCUCUAUCACCGACCA
rnacentral:sRNA from 3 species